AGAUGUGGAGGGCAACGCUGAAGAACUCGCACACGGCCGGACCAGAGCCUGGCUCUCGUUCCUGUCCUGUCUCUGAAGAGAACCAGCCAGGAGCUUUGUGUCGUGAGCACAGAGCACAUCAACGGGCCUCUUUGAUGUCUGUCUCCAGGAGCAGAGAAUGGCAACAGAUGACCCAGUUACCAAUGAAGGCCCUCAGGCCAAAGGUCGGCUAUAAAGAACAUCCAAGAGUUGGGGUCAGAACCUUGGGAACCAGCUUUGAUACACAGGCAACCACUUGGGCUUCAGUAUUAGGAACCCUGAAAUCAGACUCAAGAACAUUCCUGUCUCCUAAGCAAGGCCACAUCCCCUCAAAGCUGGAGCUGACUGCUUCUUGGAGAGAACAAACAUUCUGGAAUCUUGGCAGCUGUUGGAGCAAUAUUCAGCUCUCUUUGUCUUCUUUUAUUUUUAAAUUAAAAUGACAUUAUUUUUCUGAUUAUAAAGGAAAUACAGAUCCAUGUAGAAAAAUUAAGCAAAAUUAAAAAAAAUAAGGAAAAAACGGAAUUUUAUGCAAACUCUCACCCCAGAGACAAUCACUAAAAACCUUUCCAGUCAUAUCUCUAUGCAUAUACAUGUGUGUCCAUAUAUGUUUGAUACUAGUAAAAUGGAUAUUUCCAAUUACAUAUAAUGGCUACUUAACUAUUUUCCUUUGUAAAUUGUUUAUGUUCUCAGCCCAUUUUUCUAUUGAUGUUUCUGUUUUUCACAUUGAUUUGUAAGCUCUUUGUAAAUUAAGAAUAUUAAUUUUUUCACUAUCAUAGAUGGUGAAAAUAUUUCCCUCCAUACUUUGUCUUUUACCUUGUUUAUGGUGGGGGAGUGGCUUAUAGAAAUGCAAGUUUUGAAUUGUUUAAUAUCAUAUCUAUUAAUAUUUGUCAAGAUUGCAGCCUUUUGUGCCGUGCUUGAUAAGUCUUCCCUAACACAAGGGCAUCAAAAACAUAAGUCUAUGUUUUUUAAUACCCCUAUGAGUUCACUUUUUAUGUUUACCAUUUUGACAAACCAGGAAUUUAUCUUGUUGAAAUAAAUGAAGUAGCAUCUGCCUUAGCUUUCCUUCCCAGAUGGCAAGUAGUCUAUCUUUCCCUCACUGAUUUAUAAAGUGCCUGCUUUUCCUGUGUUAAAUUCUCAUAUAUUUUGGAUCUAUUUCUGGAUUCUCUAAGCUGUUGCAUUGUUUUGCACAUCCAUUCUGCUAGUGCCACGCCAUUUAGUUGCCAAAGUUUUAUCACACUUUGUCAUGAGGUGGAAUUAGUAUUCCUAAUUACUUUUCUUUUUAUAACAUUGCCCUAGCCAUUCUGAAUUUCACAUGGAAGGAUAUUUUGUCAAGUCCUCAUACCUUCCCCCAUUUUUGAAAGAAAUCCAUUGACUUUAUUGAUUAAUUUUGGGGAAGUAACCUCUUUACCCUAUUGAAGCUUUCUAACCAAGAAUAAAUUAUAGCUCUUCACUGACUUCAGGUUUUCUCUGAUGUCUAUUAAUAAAGUUUUAUGGUUUUAAAAA